GUUGAAGAACGCAGUGAAAUGCGAUAAGUAAUGUGAAUUGCAGAAUUCAGUGAAUCAUCGAAUCUUUGAACGCACAUUGCGCCCGCCAGUAUUCUGGCGGGCAUGCCUGUUCGAGCGUCAUUUCAACCCUCAAGCCCCCGGGCUUGGUGUUGGGGAUCGGCGUGCCCUCGCGGCGCGCCGUCCCCUAAAUCUAGUGGCGGUCUCGCUGUAGCUUCCUCUGCGUAGUAGCAACACUCGCACUGGAUCGCAGCGCGGCCACGCCGUUAAACCCCCCACUUCUGAAAGUUUGACCUCGGAUCAGGUAGGAAUACCCGCUGAACUUAAGCAUAUCAAUAAGCGGAGGA
rnacentral:misc_RNA from 1 species